AGACCCGCAGCAUCCGGCACUAUGAGUCAGUCUGACUCAUUAAAUGCUGUAUAUGUUGUGCAGGCCGCGGGUCCUACCAGCCACAGCUCUUCCCCUGGUUUCGGAAAUGGGCUGGUCACAUCAGCAUCAUCACUGACGAAUCUUAUCUGACAUCACUGUGCAGCAAGGCUGGCUCCGGGUCGCGUCCCCUGCUGUCUCAGUGUCUCCUUCCUUUCAAUCUCCCAGCCAGACUCAGGGAAGCAAGCUCCGCCUCCCAGAUGAGACGAGGAGCUGGCCUGGGCUGGGAGCUGCAUGCUGUGAGGGAGAGUCAGGCAUCUUGGCUGGGCUCGUGUGACUGGUGGCUUGAGACAAAACUGGAGGCACGUGCUGCAUUUAUUGGAGGAAACACCAGCUGACUACCAGCGACAACAGUACUGUCUAUGUGACAGAGAACCUUUUACUCCUGGCGCCUCGACCUCUAUGCUGAUCCUCUGUGAUUCUUUGUGUGACGUCAAUAUAUAUGCAGACAGUAGAGGCCACACUGGUAAUGACCGUAAAAGCCAGAGUCACUGAUUAAACUUUCAGUAUCAUCUCUCAGAAGAUUCCCUCUCCAAAGGUCAGCAUGGUUGGUUUCUUUUGGCCCAUUAAAACCUAAGUAUCUAUUAGAUGGUCUGAAGAACGUAUUAGAAAGGUCAGUCUCAGUGAAGAAUUUUAUGUUACAACAGGGUAAGAAGGAAACGCUGCUUGGUUUUGUGAAAGUUAA